GGACAGUCAUGGCUAAGACAAAGGAGCUCACUGAGGACCUGCGGCUGCACGUUGUGGCUAUAAGACCUUAUCUAAAUGUUUUGAAGUUCCAGUGCAAAGUAUUAUUAAAAAAUUCAAGACGUUCCGCACUGUGAAAUAUCUCAGAGGAUGUGGUCGGAAGCCAAAAGUGACACCUGUGCUGGCCAGGAGGACCGUGAGAGAGGUAAAAAAGAAUCCAAGGAUCACCAACAAGGCCAUCCUGAAAAACCGGAGCUCUGCUGGUGGCAAAAUCUCAAGGCAGACGGUCCAACGGACGAAGACCAAGUAGGACACCACUUCUCCUUUUUCAGAGACUUCUCUUCAAAAGCAUGGCAAUUUAAAACAAACCUUUCCAACUCCCACACACGAGCAAGAGAGCUACACGGUUAUGAGCCUUUUUGAUGACUUUGGUACAAAGCCUUCAGCAAGUUGUGAUGUUGAAAUCUGUUGUGAUGGAGAUCCAGAACAGGAGGACGCAGCCUGAAGGGUUACAUGGUUCCACAAGAUGGUGUGAAAUUGAAUUGAAUGAAAACUAUUCCUGUUACAGUAAUGAGGCCACAUGCUACAAGGCUUCUGUCACUGGUGCUCCUGCCAACGAGUGUAUUAAACACAGCUAAGCCAGGCACUUGGUCUGGUUCUCACCCCAGCUCCUGCACCUUGUUCUGUGAUGGCAGUUAGAUGAUCCGUGCCAAGAACACCUCGGGUCUUUUGAGUUACCUCACAUAAUUGACAGCUUUAUAACCUUAUAGUUUAGUUUUUGUUCAAAAUGUUAGCAAGCAAAUGACUCACGGCUUGUGGCAAAAUGCUGUGGAAUACUGGAUUGUCUUCCUGGAGUGUAGGAAAGGAACUCUUGCGAGCCAUGACCAGGAAAAAUACUCCAGUUUCUCCAAGGCUGGCCUCCAGUCAUAGUCACGGUCACUUCCCAUGGCUUUUAGAAAAUUGCAAAAUGACCGACUUGCCAGAUGGAAAUAUUAAUGGAUGUCACUGUUUCUAUCAGUGUAUAGUGCCAAUAGUGGCACACGGUUCUUAAUGCUUUUGCCAUGGAAGCUUGUUCGAAGGAGUUGUAUUUAUCACCACGAAUUCACCAUUUAAUAGCUGCCUGUGUAAGCCUUCAUUGGCAUCAGAUCCUGAAGACAUUAGAUCUUGAAUAACCUCGUGCUUAUGACCUCUCUGAGCUGCUUGAACGUAGUUAUGUCCCUCUUAGGAAAAAAAGGUGUGUGACAAUAUUGGAUGUAGUAUUUAUAUAAUAAUGUUGGAUAUACUUACUCUAUUUUUAAUGCUUAUGCCAUUAAAAAAAAACCAUUUUGUUUGGGUUAAGUGAGUAAUUGAGUGUCACAUUUAAUGGUGGUCUUCAAAUAUCUAGCUUCUUACCUACAUACGUUCUCUGCUGACCUUCUCUGUUUUACGGCCCAUCACUUUUGCGACUCUUGAGGUUCCCCAAAGUGAGGAACUUUGAGGAACAUUUGCUACAGUGAUCUUACUUGACCGAAAGAAGGAUUGUAACACUUCUAGAGAACAUUCUGUGCAAUUCAGUCGUCUAUAGUGUAAUAUUCAGAAGCAUCUUUAGA